rnacentral:snRNA from 1 species
AGCUUUGCGCAGUGGCAGUAUCGUAGCCAAUGAGGUCUUUCCGAGGCGCGAUUAUUGCUAAUUGAAAAAUUAGAAAU